rnacentral:rRNA from 1 species
UACGGAGGGUGCAAGCGUUGCUCGGAAUUAUUGGGCGUAAAGGGUAGGUAGGUGGUCUCGUUUGUCUGGGGUGAAAUCCUUGAGCUUAACUCAAGAAGUGCCUCAGAAACGGCGAGACUAGAGUUCUGGAGAGGGUCGUGGAAUUCCCGGUGUAGCGGUGAAAUGCGCAGAUAUCAGGAGGAACACCGAUGGCGAAGGCAGCUCGCUGGGACGGUACUGACGCUGAGGCACGAAAGCGUGGGGGAGCAAACAGG